rnacentral:rRNA from 1 species
UACGAAGGGGGCUAGCGUUGUUCGGAAUUACUGGGCGUAAAGCGCGCGUAGGCGGACCUGCAAGUCGGGGGUGAAAGCCCGAGGCUCAACCUCGGAACUGCCUUCGAUACUGCGGGUCUCGAGUCCGGGAGAGGUGAGUGGAAUUCCUAGUGUAGAGGUGAAAUUCGUAGAUAUGCGGAGGAACACCGAUGGCGAAGGCAGGUCUCUGGGCAUUAACUGACGCUGAGGAGCGAAAGCAUGGGGAGCGAACAGG